rnacentral:rRNA from 1 species
GGUCCUGCGGAGGGAUCAUUACAAGUGACCCCGGUCUAACCACCGGGAUGUUCAUAACCCUUUGUUGUCCGACUCUGUUGCCUCCGGGGCGACCCUGCCUUCGGGCGGGGGCUCCGGGUGGACACUUCAAACUCUUGCGUAACUUUGCAGUCUGAGUAAACUUAAUUAAUAAAUUAAAACUUUUAACAACGGAUCUCUUGGUUCUGGCAUCGAUGAAGAACGCAGCGAAAUGCGAUAAGUAAUGUGAAUUGCAGAAUUCAGUGAAUCAUCGAAUCUUUGAACGCACAUUGCGCCCCCUGGUAUUCCGGGGGGCAUGCCUGUUCGAGCGUCAUUUCACCACUCAAGCCUCGCUUGGUAUUGGGCAACGCGGUCCGCCGCGUGCCUCAAAUCGACCGGCUGGGUCUUCUGUCCCCUAAGCGUUGUGGAAACUAUUCGCUAAAGGGUGCUCGGGAGGCUACGCCGUAAAACAAACCCAUUUCUAAGGUUGACCUCGGAUCAGGUAGGGAUACCCGCUGAACUUAAGCAUAUCAAA